AAAAAAUGCACCAAAACAGAAAAUCCAGCAAGGAAAUCACAAAAUAAAAUCUAUGGGGGUGUUUGUGAACACGCAACAAAGAAAUAAUUCUUUUGACAACGACGUCUUACAGGUGGAUAGGGUAGGUAGGCAUAUAGGGCAAGGAGGUAAAUAGGGUGUAAUAUAGUAGGCAGGGUGGAGUAGGUUGGUAGGGUAUAAUAUAUAAUAGGUAAUGUGAAACAGUAUGGGGUAUAAAAUCUAAAGUGUAGUAGGUACAGUAAAAUUGAGUUGACAGAUGGGGCAAGUCGGUUGGUCGAUUUGACAGCUCGGCGGAUUGGAGUAUAUACUGUAGAUAGGACAGGCAGACAAGUAGAGUAUAAAAUAGUUAGUACGGUAGAUUGGAUAUGUCCAUAAAUAGGGUAUAAUAUAGUAGGUAAGUAGGACUAAUAA